rnacentral:ncRNA from 1 species
GUUGCAGAUUUGAUUCUGGUUUCUAUUAUAGGAUAGUUAUUGAUGAUACAUGCUAAUCGUAUGCUCCAGAGAGGGACACUUGCAUUUAGAUUUGAAAUUGAAUGUCGUAGAGGCAUAAGAUAGUUUUCUUGCUUCGUUUACUCCACUCCACACAGGUAAUAGCAGUACUUGAUAUUGGGCAAGAUGUGAAAGCGUGCACCAGCAUUAGUUGAUUACGUGGCAAAGAUUGUGCCAGCCGCCGCGGUUACACCUGAACGUAAACUUAUAAUGUAAGUCUUUGUAGUUUUAAGGUUAAGCUAGGGUUAUUUAGGAGGAAUAGUCGUAUAUUUUCUCGUUCGUGAACUUUAAUUCUAUUUGCUACAUGAGGUAAAGAAAUAAACCAGGAUUAGAGACCCUGCUAUACUUUGCUAGUUAAUAAUUGGUUAGUAUAAAUAAUGUUUGAAAACCAAAGAUUUUGGCAGUGGAUAAAGUCUACUCAGAGGAGUUUGUCCUAGUAAUUCGAUAAUCCGCGAGGAUCUCACUUUGUUUUGUAAUACAGCUUAUAUACCGCCGUCGUCAGCUAAUAUUGAAAGAAUACAAAAAUUAGCUAGUAGAUUAAAUUCUUAACGUCAGGUCAGGGUGUAGCCUAUAGCAGAGGUUAGGAUGAAUUACAUUUAUUGUAUAUUAACAGAUACUAUUUAUGUAAUUGAUAGUUGCAGUUGGAUUUGAUAGUAAGUCGGCAUUAUUAUGGUCAAUUGACUAUAGCUCUUAUCUAUGCACACACCGCCCGUCAUUUUCCUGAAUAUAUAAAGGAAAAAAGUCGUAACAAGGUAGGGGUUCUGGAAGGAAUUCCUGGAUAAUUCG